rnacentral:rRNA from 1 species
GACGAACGCUGGCGGCGUGCUUAACACAUGCAAGUCGAACGGAAAGGCCCUGCUUUUGUGGGUUUCUUGAUUGGCGAACGGGUGAGUAACACGUGAGUAACCUGCCCUUGACUUUGGGAUAACUUCUGGAAACUGGGGCUAAUACCGGAUAUGAGCUCCUGCUGCAUGUUGGGGGUUGGAAAGUUUCGGCGGUUGGGGAUGGACUCGCGGCUUAUCAGCUUGUUGGUGGGGUAGUGGCUUACCAAGCCUUUGACGGGUAGCCGGCCUGAGAGGGUGACCGGCCACAUUGGGACUGAGAUACGGCCCAGACUCCUACGGGAGGCAGCAGUGGGGAAUAUUGCACAAUGGGCGGAAGCCUGAUGCAGCAACGCCGCGUGCGGGAUGACGGCCUUCGGGUGGUAAACCGCUUUCGCCUGUGACGAAGCGUGAGUGACGGUAAUGGGUAAAGAAGCACCGGCUAACUACGUG